AGAGCGAACGCUGGCGGCAGGCCUAACACAUGCAAGUCGAACGGAUCCUUCGGGGUUAGUGGCGGACGGGUGAGUAACGCGUGGGAACGUGCCUUUGGUUCGGAAUAGCUCCUGGAAACGGGUGGUAAUGCCGAAUGUGCCCUUCGGGGGAAAGAUUUAUCGCCAUUAGAGCGGCCCGCGUCUGAUUAGCUAGUUGGUGAGGUAAAGGCUCACCAAGGCGACGAUCAGUAGCUGGUCUGAGAGGAUGACCAGCCACAUUGGGACUGAGACACGGCCCAAACUCCUACGGGAGGCAGCAGUGGGGAAUCUUGCGCAAUGGGCGAAAGCCUGACGCAGCCAUGCCGCGUGAAUGAUGAAGGUCUUAGGAUUGUAAAAUUCUUUCACCGGGGACGAUAAUGACGGUACCCGGAGAAGAAGCCCCGGCUAACUUCGUGCCAGCAGCCGC
rnacentral:rRNA from 1 species